rnacentral:rRNA from 1 species
AUUGAACGCUGGCGGCAGGCUUAACACAUGCAAGUCGAGCGGUAACAGAGAGAAGCUUGCUUCUCUGCUGACGAGCGGCGGACGGGUGAGUAAUGCCUAGGAAUCUGCCUAGUAGUGGGGGAUAACUUGCCGAAAGGUAAGCUAAUACCGCAUACGUCCUACGGGAGAAAGGAGGGGACCUUCGGGCCUUUCGCUAUUAGAUGAGCCUAGGUCGGAUUAGUUAGUUGGUGAAGUAAUGGCUCACCAAGACCGCGAUCCGUAACUGGUCUGAGAGGAUGAUCAGGCACACUGGAACUGAGAAACGGUCCAGACUCCUACGGGAGGCAGCAGUGGGGAAUAUUGGACAAUGGGGGGAACCCUGAUCCAGCCAUGCCGCGUGUGUGAAGAAGGUCUUAGGAUUGUAAAGCACUUUAAGUUGGGAGGAAGAGCAGUUAACUAAUAUUUGACUGUUUUGACGUUACCGACAGAAUAAGCACCGGCUAACUUCGUGCCAGCCGCCGCCGUAA